UACGUAGGGGCCAAGCGUUGUCCGGAUUUAUUGGGCGUAAAGAGCUCGUAGGCGGUUGGGUAAGUCGGGUGUGAAAACUCCAGGCUCAACUUGGAGAUGCCACCCGAUACUGCUCUGACUUGAGUUCGGUAGGGGAGUGGGGAAUUCCUGGUGUAGCGGUGAAAUGCGUAGAUAUCUGGAGGAACACCGGUGGCGAAGGCGGCAUCCUGGACCGACACUGACGCUGAGGAGCGAAAGCCAGGGGAGCAAACGGG
rnacentral:rRNA from 1 species